GAUCAUGGCUCAGGAUGAACGCUGGCGGCGUGCUUAACACAUGCAAGUCGAACGAAGCACUUAUCUUUGAUUCUUCGGAUGAAGAGGUUUGUGACUGAGUGGCGCACGGGUGAGUAACGCGUAUCCAACCUGCCUACCACUUGGGGAUAACCUUGCGAAAGUAAGACUAAUACCCAAUGACAUCCCACGAAGACAUCUGAAUGGGAUUAAAGAUUUAUCGGUGAUGGAUGGGGA
rnacentral:rRNA from 1 species